AUGUUAUAUCAUAUCAUUUGCAUAUCAUAUCAUUUGGAAAAUACUGGUUCACUGAGUUAUAUAGAUCUUCCAAAUGUUGACACAUUUCAUUAUACAAUAUCCAAAAAUCACUUUCAUACAUAUCACAACUCAUCUCAUUGGAGAAAUCUUCUAAGUAUUGGGAGGCUGUUAAGCUCAGAGUGCCAGUUAACAAGUUUUCCAAAACUAAAUUUAUCUUGAAAGCUUGAGUUUCAACAUUUCAUUUUCCUCGAAGUGAUAGGCUUAUUUUGUUCAUUUUCAAGAAAAUGUUUGUCAUAUACUCAAAUAUGAGUAACCAUAGUUCGUCAGUCUCUCUUUCAAGUAAAAACCGUGCUUCGUGAACUGAGGGGCUGGUUGGGCUCGCAACUCCGACAAUUACGCAUCCGCUUUUCCUAAAGACAGUGUCAUACUUGGGGUGCAGCGCAGGCGCUGUGUGCAGCCUUCCCAUCUCAUCCUGAGGUGUUAGAAAGACUCUGGGUUGAGAUUUAGUAUGUCAUACUUUUUCAGGCUUCAUCACGGACAUUCUUCAGUGAAACUGGCUUUUUUUCUUCUUCCUUUCUUUUUUCCUUCCCUGAGUGUGUGAUGGUGAAGAAAACUCAUCCCUGUUGGAGCCACUCCCUCGAUUCACUCAUCAGCACCGGACCCACCAUUGCGUUUGUCACAUCAGUGCAAAUAUCGACACAGCGGAAAGGGCAGAGAGCAUCUCCGCGAUGAGGCUGAUUGGCCAUCUCUGUUGUAGAGUUGGAGCUUUUAAUUAUCUGCAGCAGCCGGCAGCCAUAGAAGAGCCGAUAAGCAACAGAGCCAUCAACACUUGAACAACACAUGUCGGCGCUGAUUAGCGCGGCUGGUUAGAGUGGGGACUAAUGAGGCCAAGGUCACGGACGUGGCCCUGCAGCCCAGGUAGCUGGGCCACACUCCAGACUGCCGCCCCUCCCUGUCAGCUGCCUCACAGAUGCACACUGCCUUCUGGACUGGGGCCAGGGAGGCCCCAGCCAGCAGUCAGCACGGGCUCCUUUUGUUUAAAACCAAACAAAAUAAAAACAGGUUCUCUAAUGUA